rnacentral:rRNA from 1 species
UCGACCUAGUUGCCAGCAUUCAGUUGGGCACUCUAAGGUGACUGCCGGCUAAAAGUCGGAGGAAGGUGGGGAUGACGUCAAGUCAUCAUGCCCUUAUGACCUGGGCUACACACGUGCUACAAUGGCGGUACAAAGGGUCGCGAACCCGCGAGGGGGAGCCAAUCCCAAAAAGCCGCUCUCAGUUCGGAUUGCAGGCUGCAACUCGCCUGCAUGAAGCCGGAAUCGCUAGUAAUCGCGGAUCAGCAUGCCGCGGUGAAUACGUUCCCGGGCCUU